GACAAUUACCAUAACACCUCUCAAUUAAAUAUAAUUUACAUUCAGUUUAGCAGCACGGAUCAGAUACCUUUCGCAGGCCCUUCUAAAUGUCCGUUUGCGCUCAAAUUUGACAGGUAUACUCGGUUUUACAUAACAAGUCCAAAGAAAUUUUAACAUUUCAGUUUCGACCCCAUUUGGUCACCGCAAAUUGUACCGAACUGCAAUCUUUAUCAGAUAGCUUUCGGAUUCUAUUUCUCUCUCUACGGGUGUCAGAAUAAUAUGAAACUUUAAAUCUAGCCUCAUAAAAAUAUUUCUGACAUCUCCUCCAGUUUUCAUAAUUUUCUGACACUGUGCAUUUUCUACUAAUUUAUCAGUCCCGUUCUUUACAGAAAAUUCUAAAUCUUCUGUUUUCACUCUGAUUCUAACACAAGUCAUUCCAGACUUAUAUUUCACACCCUUAAGUCCAAUAAAAUAUUAUCUCACACCAUAUUUAUAUUAGUUUGCUCACUUUAAUUCUUUUAAUCAAAGUUAGCGUCGGAAAUCCGAAAAUUCUCUUUACAUUUCGUUUCGCGCCCAAUUUGCGCCGAAACACUUAUUUAUCUCCAGAAUUCAUUCACACGCAUCACAAAUCACUCGGGGAUGAUGUCCAACUAGCUCAAUCCUCACUUUCAUUCCCCUAGAUCAAAGUUGACAUCGCAACUCCAAGUUGCCAUAUAUUACACCCCCGGCCCCAUCCCCCGG
rnacentral:lncRNA from 1 species